rnacentral:rRNA from 1 species
AGCGAACGCUGGCGGCAGGCCUAACACAUGCAAGUCGAACGGACCUUUCGGGGUUAGUGGCGGACGGGUGAGUAACACGUGGGAACGUGCCUUUAGGUUCGGAAUAGCUCCUGGAAACGGGUGGUAAUGCCGAAUGUGCCCUUCGGGGGAAAGAUUUAUCGCCUUUAGAGCGGCCCGCGUCUGAUUAGCUAGUUGGUUGAGGUAACGGCCCACCAAGGCGACGAUCAGUAGCUGGUCUGAGAGGAUGGCCAGCCACAUUGGGACUGAGACACGGCCCAAACUCCUACGGGAGGCAGCAGUGGGGAAUCUUGCGCAAUGGGCGAAAGCCUGACGCAGCCAUGCCGCGUGAAUGAUGAAGGUCUUAGGAUUGUAAAAUUCUUUCACCGGGGACGAUAAUGACGGUACCCGGAGAAGAAGCCCCGGCUAACUUCGUG